UGGGCCACGCCAAGGGAUCCCGACUGCUGACUGCACUGCGGGAGAGGCUUUUCUGGAUUGGGAUGAGCAGAGACAACCACAGAUUUGCCUUUGCAGUGCCAACGAGAGACCAGACGGCAGCUACAACGGUAGCAGUGCUGUGGGGGACAGUGUUUCGGUCCUUUGGGUGCCCAGAGCGGAUCUUGACUGACCAGGGGCCAGCAUUUGAAGCUGACUUGACCCAGCAGCUGUGUACCCUGUAUGGGUGUCGCAAGGUGAGAACAACCCCUUAUCAUCCUCAGGGUAACGGGGCUUGUGAGAGGAUGAACCAGACGAUCCUCAGCCUGCUGAACACCUUGGAGCCAAGGGAGUAUUCUCGGUGGAGAGAACACCUGCCGGGCCUGGUGCAUGCUUAUAACAACACGCCGCACAGUGUGACCGGUUUGGCCCCCUUCUUUGUAGUGUUCGGCAGGCAUGCCCGCUUACCAGUGGACCAGUUGGCCGGGCUGGAGAGGCCAGAGCAACGAGGUCCCUUGCAGGACUGGGUCCAGCAGCACCACGCCCGUCUCCAGAAUGCCUACCAGCUGGUGAAAGAGCGAAAUCAACACCGACAACAACAGGACCAGGGACGACGCAACCAGGGCCCUAAGGCCCAGCCAUUAUUGCCUGGGGAGAGGGUCUUUGUUCGAGACUUCCGCCGCCGGGCCCGAGGGAAGCUGGGGUACCAUUGGGACCCACGACCAUAUGUGGUCCGGAGCCAGCCUACGAGGGACCGCCCUGUGUACGUUAUCCGACCAGAAGGAAGGGAGGGACCUCUGCGCACCCUGCACCAAAACAACUUGUGUGUGCAGCCCAGCAGCUGGCGGAGUGGGGCUCAUGGGGGCGUAGGUGAAUUGGCAGGGAGCCAGCCCACAGUACCGCCUGAAGCAGAACGGGGGCCUGAGAGGGGGUGGUGGCCAGUUUGUUUCCCAUGUGAGCAGGGUCGCCCAGAACCAAGGGAGAACCUGAGGGGGGCUAGGGAAGUAGGGGAAGCCCUCGCUGAGGCUGGGGUGGAGUCUGGGGAUCCUCUGGGACCCCGCCGAUCCCAGCGAGCCAACUUGGGGGUUCGCCCCGCAAGUAUGCAGGGGGAGAACGUUGUGGCAAUAAUUGUGGACUAAUGGACUAAUGGCCACGGAG
ensembl:lncRNA